rnacentral:rRNA from 1 species
UACGUAGGGGGCUAGCGUUGUCCGGAAUCAUUGGGCGUAAAGAGCGCGUAGGCGGCUCGAUAAGUCCGGUGUGAAAGUCACAGGCUCAACCUGUGAAUGCCGCUGGAAACUGUCUGGCUAGAGUCCGGAAGGGGCGAGUGGAAUUCCUGGUGUAGCGGUGAAAUGCGCAGAUAUCAAGAGGAACACCUGAGGUGAAGACGGGUUGCUGGGCUGACACUGACGCUGAGGCGCGAAAGCUAGGGUAGCAAACGGG